UUUUCGCCUGUAGUAAAGAGGAUGAGAACCUCCGAAGGAGGUUUGAGCCGAGCGAAGCGAGACCACGUUGCUUUAGCAACGGCCCGCAGGGCAAGCAUCGCAGAUGCGCGUAAUCCUCUCUCGCCGACCA
rnacentral:sRNA from 1 species